GCCUACACAUGCAGUCGAGGGGUAGAAAGAGCUUGCUUUUUUGAGACCGGCGCACGGGUGAGUAACGCGUAUGCAACCUACCUUAUACAGGGGAAUAGCCCGAAGAAAUUCGGAUUAAUGCUCCAUGGUUUAUCGAUAUGGCAUCGUAUUGAUAAUAAAGAUUUAUCGGUAUAAGAUGGGCAUGCGUAUCAUUAGCUAGUUGGUGUGGUAACGGCAUACCAAGGCAACGAUGAUUAGGGGUCCUGAGAGGGAGAUCCCCCACACUGGUACUGAGACACGGACCAGACUCCUACGGGAGGCAGCAGUGAGGAAUAUUGGUCAAUGGAGGCAACUCUGAACCAGCCAUGCCGCGUGCAGGAUGACGGUCCUAUGGAUUGUAAACUGCUUUUGUACAGGAAGAAACCUCCCUACGAGUAGGGACUUGACGGUACUGUAAGAAUAAGGAUCGGCUAACUCCGUGCCAGCAGCCGCGGUAAUACGGAGGAUCCGAGCGUUAUCCGGAAUUAUUGGGUUUAAAGGGUUCGUAGGCGGCUUUGUAAGUCAGUGGUGAAAUUUCCUAGCUUAACUAGGACACUGCCAUUGAUACUGCAUAACUUGAAUAAUAUGGAAGUAACUAGAAUAUGUAGUGUAGCGGUGAAAUGCUUAUAUAUUACAUGGAAUACCAAUUGCGUAUGCAGGUUACU
rnacentral:rRNA from 1 species